rnacentral:tRNA from 1 species
UGCCCGCUAGCACAAUUGAUAGAUGCGUCUGGUUCUGAGCCAGAUGGUUUCAGGUUCGAAUCCUGAGCGGGCAG